GAGUCAAGGUGUCUUCGGACGCCGGCAUACGGCUCAGUAACACGUAGGUAACCUACCCUUAGGACUGGGAUAACCCCGGGAAACUGGGGCUAAUACCGGAUAGAUAAAAGAUACUGGAAUGUUCUUUUAUCCAAAGCUUUUGUGCCUAAGGAUGGGCCUGCGCCCGAUUAGGUUGUUGGUGGGGUAAUGGCCCACCAAGCCUGCGAUCGGUACGGGCAGUGGGAGCUGUAGCCCGGAGUUGGGGACUGAGACAAGGCCCCAGGCCCUACGGGGCGCAGCAGGCGCGAAACCUCUGCAAUGCGGGAAACCGUGACAGGGGGAUCCCAAGUGCUCAUGCAUUGCAUGGGCUGUUCUUUGGUCUAAGUAACCAGAGGAGUAAGGGCUGGGCAAGACCGGUGCCAGCCGCCGCGGUAAUACCGGCAGCUCGAGUGGUAGCCGCGAUUAUUGGGCCUAAAGCGUUCGUAGCCGGAUAAGUAAGUCUUUGGUUAAAUCCUGCGACUUAACCGUGGGAAAUCUAGAGAUACUGCUUGUCUUGAGACCGGGAGAGGUUGGAGGUACUCCUAGGGUAGGGGUGAAAUCCUGUAAUCCUAGGGGGACCACCUGUGGCGAAGGCGUCCAACUGGAACGGGUCUGACGGUGAGGGACGAAACCUAGGGGAGCGAGCCGGAUUAGAUACCCGGGUAGUCCUAGGCGUAAAUGAUGCGAGUUAAGUGUGGGGGCAUCUACGAGAUGGCCCUGUGCUGUAGGGUAGCCGUUAAACUCGCCGCCUGGGGAGUACGGUCGCAAGGCUGAAACUUAAAGGAAUGGCGGG
rnacentral:rRNA from 1 species